rfam:Gossypium raimondii Chr04_contig_25, whole genome shotgun sequence.
UCUGAAAAAAAUCAUCCGUUUGUACUGUUAAAAAAUGGUGUGGUUGAUGGAAUAACUAAACAGUAACACAGUAACAUGUGGCAUGCCACAUAUACCUCAAGUUGAGGUACAAUGAUUAAUUUUUAACAAUGGAAAUAGAUGAAAUUUUUAACA